CUACGGGGCGCUGCAGUGAGGAAUAUUGCGCAAUGGAGGAAACUCUGACGCAGCGACGCCGCGUGGAUGAUGAAGGCUUUCGAGUCGUAAAAUCCUGUCAGAUGGGAAGAAAUGUUUAUAUGCUAAUACCAUAUAGAUUUGACGGUACCAUCAGAGGAAGCACCGGCUAACUCCGUGCCAGCAGCCGCGGUAAUACGGAGGGUGCAAGCGUUGUUCGGAAUUACUGGGCGUAAAGCGCGCGUAGGCGGUCUGUUAAGUCAGAUGUGAAAGCCCAGGGCUUAACCCUGGACGUGCAUUUGAUACUGGCAGACUUGAGUAUCGGAGGGGGUGGUGGAAUUCCCGGUGUAGAGGUGAAAUUCGUAGAUAUCGGGAGGAAUACCGGUGGCGAAGGCGACCACCUGGCCGAAUACUGACGCCGAGGUGCGAAAGCGUGGGGAGCAAACAGGAUUAGAUACCCGGGUAGUC
rnacentral:rRNA from 1 species